AUUGAACGCUGGCGGCAGGCCUAACACAUGCAAGUCGAGCGGGGUUUUCGGACCUAGCGGCGGACGGGUGAGUAAUGCGUAGGAAGCUACCCGAUAGAGGGGGAUACCAGUUGGAAACGACUGUUAAUACCGCAUAAUGUCUACGGACCAAAGUGUGGGACCUUCGGGCCACAUGCUAUCGGAUGCGCCUACGUGGGAUUAGCUAGUUGGUAAGGUAAUGGCUCACCAAGGCGACGAUCCCUAGCUGGUUUGAGAGGAUGAUCAGCCACACUGGAACUGAGACACGGUCCAGACUCCUACGGGAGGCAGCAGUGGGGAAUAUUGGACAAUGGGCGCAAGCCUGAUCCAGCCAUGCCGUGUGUGUGAAGAAGGCCUUCGGGUUGUAAAGCACUUUCAGUAGGGAGGAAGCGUUGUGUGUUAAUAGUACACAGCGUUGACGUUACCUACAGAAGAAGCACCGGCUAACUCUGUGCCAGCAGCCGCGGUAAGAC
rnacentral:rRNA from 1 species